CAUAGCGACUAUCGUGGCAUAUCAAUAAGCGGAGGAAAAGAAACUAACAAGGAUUCCCCUAGUAACGGCGAGUGAAGCGGGAAGAGCUCAAAUUUGAAAUCUUCAAGGGUUUCCCUUGACGAAUUGUAGUUUAAAGAAGUGUUUUCUGUUAGAGAGGUGGUAAAAGUUCUUUGGAAUAGGACAUCAUAGAGGGUGAGAAUCCCGUAUUUGAUCACUUUCUACUAACGUUGUGAUACACUUUCAAAGAGUCGGAUUGUUUGGGAAUGCAGUCCAAAAUGGGUGGUAAAUUUCAUCUAAAGCUAAAUAUUGGCGAGAGACCGAUAGCGAACAAGUACCGUGAGGGAAAGAUGAAAAGAACUUUGAAAAGAGAGUUAAACAGUACGUGAAAUUGUCAAAAGGGAAGCAUUUGACACCAGUGUUGUUUUUCCGAAAAUCAAUUAUGAAUGGCUUGAUUUUAAGUUUCAUGACCUUAAAAGCUUGUUUCUUAUUUUUCAUGUCUUUCGUAAUGCACUUUUCGGUUAACAAGUCAACAUCAAUUUCUUUUGUUGUAAAAGGUUAAGAGGAAGGUGGCUUUACUUUCGGGUAAAGUGUUUAUAGCCUUUUAACUCUGCAAUCGGAGAGAUUGAGGUCUGCAGCGUAGAUCCUUCGGGGUUAGAUACAUUUGUGCUAAGUUAUAGCUUUUCAUAGACAACUUGUUGACUAUGUUUAGUCUUGUAGCUUACUCGCAUGACGCUAUUUUACCUACGCUUAGGAUGUUGACGAGACUGUCGAUCUC
rnacentral:rRNA from 1 species